UGUGUGCGUUGCGUUGAUGUAUUUCAGGCGUUUAUACUGGUGAUGUUUGUUAUUACUUAUCUCCAGUGUACACCUGAAAUAUACCAACAAAUGCUUAGAC